GACGAACGCUGGCGGCGUGCUUAACACAUGCAAGUCGAACGGUAAGGCCCUUCGGGGUACACGAGUGGCGAACGGGUGAGUAACACGUGGGUGAUCUGCCCUGCACUUCGGGAUAAGCCUGGGAAACUGGGUCUAAUACCGGAUAGGACCACUGCUGCAUGGGUGGUGGUGGAAAGCUUUUGCGGUGUGGGAUGGGCCCGCGGCCUAUCAGCUUGUUGGUGGGGUGAUGGCCUACCAAGGCGACGACGGGUAGCCGGCCUGAGAGGGUGGCCGGCCACACUGGGACUGAGCUACUGCCCAGACUCCUGCGGGAGGCAGCAGUGGGGAAUAUUGCACAAUGGGCGCAAGCCUGAUGCAGCGACGCCGCGUGAGGGAUGACGGCCUUCGGGUUGUAAACCUCUUUCAGCACCGGAGAAGCGCAAGUGACGGUAGGUGCAGAAGAAGGACCGGCCAACUACGUGCCAGCCGCCGCGGUAA
rnacentral:rRNA from 1 species